rnacentral:rRNA from 1 species
GAUAAACGCUGGCGGCGCACAUAAGACAUGCAAGUCGAACGGACUUAACCGAAAUGUUUACAUUUUGGAGCGGUUAGUGGCGGACUGGUGAGUAACACGUAAGCAACCUGCCUAUCAGAGGGGAAUAACAGUGAGAAAUCACUGCUAAUACCGCAUAUGCUGUGAGUAUCGCAUGGUACAAACAGGAAAGGAGCAAUCCGCUGAUAGAUGGGCUUGCGUCUGAUUAGAUAGUUGGUGGGGUAACGGCCUACCAAGUCGACGAUCAGUAGCCGGACUGAGAGGUUGAACGGCCACAUUGGGACUGAGAUACGGCCCAGACUCCUACGGGAGGCAGCAGUCGGGAAUAUUGCACAAUGGAGGAAACUCUGAUGCAGUGACGCCGCGUGCAGGAAGAAGGUUUUCGGAUUGUAAACUGCUUUAGACAGGGAAGAAACAAGACAGUACCUGUAGAUAAGCUACCGGCUAACUACGUGCCAGCAGCCG